GGAAGGAUGCCGAGUGGUUAUGACGUGUGGUCCGAGCUUUCAGCAAGUGGGGUUUUUCAUGGGCUUUGUCCGCGGGGGUUCGAAUCCCCCUCCUUUCA